CAGGUAGUAGUGGGUGUAAUGUACCUACUAGCUUACGACGGGUACGGGUUGUGAGAGCAAGAGCCCGGAGAUGGAUUCUGAGGCAUGAAUCCAGGCCCUACGGGGCGCAGCAGGCGCGAAAACUUUACAAUGCGGGAAACCGUGAUAAGGGGACACCGAGUGCCAGCAUCAUAUGCUGGCUGUCCGGGUGUGUAAAAUACACCUGUUAGCAAGGGCCGGGCAAGACCGGUGCCAGCCGCCGCGGUAACACCGGCGGCCCGAGUGGUGAUCGUGAUUAUUGGGUCUAAAGGGUCCGUAGCCGGUUUGGUCAGUCCUCCGGGAAAUCUGACGGCUCAACCGUUAGGCUUUCGGGGGAUACUGCCAGACUUGGAACCGGGAGAGGUAAGAGGUACUACAGGGGUAGGAGUGAAAUCUUGUAAUCCCUGUGGGACCACCUGUGGCGAAGGCGUCUUACCAGAACGGGUUCGACGGUGAGGGACGAAAGCUGGGGGCACGAACCGGAUUAGAUACCCGGGUAGUCCCAGCCGUAAACGAUGCUCGCUAGGUGUCAGGCAUGGCGCGACCGUGUCUGGUGCCGCAGGGAAGCCGUGAAGCGAGCCACCUGGGAAGUACGGCCGCAAGGCUGAAACUUAAAGGAAUUGGCGGGGGAGCAC
rnacentral:rRNA from 1 species